rnacentral:rRNA from 1 species
AGCGAACGCUGGCGGCAGGCCUAACACAUGCAAGUCGAACGAAGUCUUCGGACUUAGUGGCGGACGGGUGAGUAACACGUGGGAACGUGCCUUUAGGUUCGGAAUAACUCAGGGAAACUUGUGCUAAUACCGAAUGUGCCCUUCGGGGGAAAGAUUUAUCGCCCUUAGAGCGGCCCGCGUCUGAUUAGCUAGUUGGUGAGGUAAAGGCUCACCAAGGCGACGAUCAGUAGCUGGUCUGAGAGGAUGAUCAGCCACAUUGGGUCUGAGACACGGCCCAAACUCCUACGGGAGGCAGCAGUGGGGAAUCUUGCGCAAUGGGCGAAAGCCUGACGCAGCCAUGCCGCGUGAAUGAUGAAGGUCUUAGGAUUGUAAAAUUCUUUCACCGGGGACGAUAAUGACGGUACCCGGAGAAGAAGCCCCGGCUAACUUCGUGCCAGCCGCCGCGGUAAAAC